UCAGUAUAUAGCGCAAAUAAUCACGAGGAAAUUAUGUGUUUAGUUCCAGCAAGACGAUGUAUCUCGUUUGGGGACUGCAAUUAGAAAUUGUUUCUGCUUUAAUUUGUACACUGCAUAUUAUAACGUAUGUAUGACCUUUAUUAUUACUUUCACUGCACUUUUCAAAGUUGUUUUCCUUGCAAUCUGAAUUUUCAAUACCUUCGUUACCCUUUGACUAAUUAUUUUAAAAAACACUUAUUUACAGAAAAAAACUAAUUUGUACCUUUAAGCUUUUUUUUCAUUUUCUAAGAAACUGUAGGUUUUAUUCCUGUGAUCAGAAACUGGGAGUAGUGUUCAUGAAAAGAUUGAACAUGCAACUGUUUUCAGUAGCAUUACUUUAACAAUUCAAGAUUUAGUUCAGAAAUAUUACAUUCUUGCUUCUGAUGCAAACUAGACCAACUACCAAGUUGAAGCGAAUUACAAAACAAGUUUUACUUUGUAUACAAGCUUCUUCUGGCAUUGAUUGAUCAAUACCAUGAAAAAACUAUUAAACUGAGUACCCUUUUGUUUAAGAAAUAAGGUUGAUUAAUUAUUAUAAAUGCAUACUUAUUUAAGGUCAUUAUAUACUGCUUAUGCGUUUUAUUUUAUGUCAAAGUUCUUUUUCUUCUUUGAAAUUUUUAUUGCAUGUAAAGGUGUAAGUGCAAAGUCUGGUAGGCAGCUUAGUGUAACUCACAUUCCACCCACAUCAAAGGCGCUCAGUGAGAGACAAAAAUAGUUCAAUCAAAAAGUGGUUGAUCUGCAGAACUUCAUGAGAAAACACAACUUCAUAAAAAAGCUGACAUUAUGUGGUAUUACUGGAAUGGAACAAGACGAGAAUGAUGAACCAAUGUUGACAAUAGUAAUUAAGAUUUCCAUAUUAGAAAUUUUAAGUUGUAUUAUCAAAUCAAGUGCUGAAUGAAGGACAUUGGUAUCUUAUUUAUAUUGGCCAAAUAAGUGUAUAACUGUUCAAUCACAAUUAAAUGUCAUAACGUAUCAGCCAUUUCAGUUUGUAGAGGCAUUACGUAUUCAUUUUGUUUUACUUAUACAUGUAUCAGUGUGUAGUAUUUAAAGCAAAUGCUAAGCCUUUUUCUAAAACACAAACAUGCUUAUUUUAUGUCUACAUAAUUACUGUAUAUUAAUUGCUCAUAUUUUCAGAUACGAAAUUUGAGCAUAAUGUAUCUUUAAGUUGUUAACAACAACAUUUUAACAAUGUUCCUUGAAGUUCCAAAUAUGUAUAUGUGUUUUUUAUUUAUAGUCAAUAUUUCAGAUGAAAAUACUGGAGAAUACACACAGAUACUUUUAUCAUGCUGCUAAAUCUGUUUAAUAUUCAAAACGUAAAGUUAAAUCUGCUUGGUAUUCAAAAGAUUUCAGAUUGUGACUUGAUUUCUGCUUUAAAAUUAUCAGUACAGAACACAGAAUUCAGGAAGAAGUUAACGAAUGGAAGUUUGAUGUUUAAAACUUAUAUGAACUUUUGUUUAAAUGUGUAUAGAAAAAUCUGUACUAUCUUGUGUUUUAUUUACACAUUAAAACAUUGAUCUCAGAAGAAAUUUGUAGUAAAACUACACAAUAUGGUUGCGCCAAAAGUUUUGACUUAGAUACUACUUAGAAAAUACUGAAGGAUGAUUUUUAACUAAGCUAUACAUAACAAUAUGGAAAGUUAUCCUACUUCGCAGCUUGGUCAAGUUUUUGACUUUCUUUCAUAUUAUCUCUGUUAUAACUUGAUUGGUUUGCUUCAAACUAAAAAUGGGUUGCAUCAGCACCCGUAUCAUACAUAUUACACGAGGGCUGUAACCGUGGCACCAAAAUUAUAUGCAUCAAAUUCAGGUUAAACUUUUGGUGCACUUUCAUUGUAUUUCUGUUAUCAUUUGUAAGUUUUGCUUCAAACUUAAAAUGGUUGUCUCACAUCAUUACCCACAUCAGAAUAUGACUCUGGGCGAACUAUUCUAUGAAUUAUUCUCCUUUUUCUGGGAUGGGGCCACCCAUACUCUUUAAUUUUCAUAAAGUAAUUAAAUUUAUCUUGUCAAUUCAGAAACAUCACACGUUUUGUUAUCUCUGCUGAGAUAUUAAUAGUGAUAGCUCUAGUUUCCUCAGAUAAGCCACAUUUCACUUCUGGCACCAGACCAGAAAGAAAAAGCCACUGAACACGCUAUACCUAACCCUAGGUAUA